ACGGUCCCUCUGGCUGGAGAGGGGUGUUCUGCCAUGAGCACCGUGCCAGUUCUGCUCAGCCCUCCCUGCAGCCACCUCUGCUGUGGAAUUCCUUCCCAUCAGGUAUGAAGGAAACAAUUCAGUGCAUUAUGCUUGAGUGUUCCAGAUUCUGGGUGGCCACUCCAACUUUCUAAAAGAGGAGCUGUAUGUGAGCAUCAGAGGGGGCUUUAACUAUAGCUCCAUGAAAGAUCCUGCACAGAGAUCUCUUGAGGAGCUGUGGACAAUACUCCCAAAAGGAAACCCGAGACCAUCCUCGGAAUUACAACAUCAUCCACUACAGCAAGGAAGCAUAAAACAGCUCAUUAGCAGCCCUAUCAAGUGACGGACCUAAAGCCAGCUCCAAAGUGCCCACACCUGUCUGCCCACACUGCCAGCCAGAAGGCCGGAUUCCACCGAGGAAAGAAUCAUUAUCCCAGCUCUACAUCUGGAUGUGGGACAGCUGCAGAGCUUCAGGGCACCACAGGUUACAAGGCCUCAUUGAGCAAAAGUUCAAACAAAGGAACCCAGAAGGAAAGCCGGGGUGGCAGCACCCACAUAUAAGCACCCUCCUGCUUCUCUGUGCCCCUCCAGCACCCAGCCAGCAGCACAGCCAUCCCGCCCAGAUGGUACCUCGCUGGCAGAGGCGUAGGGCUGACUCCUGAUCACACCUGCAGCCCUCCCUAUAGGAUAUGGGUGCUGAGAAACCCCAUCAACUAUGGGCUAAGGAAUGGACGUUGCAGCAAUGAGUCACAGACUGUGGCUCCUUUGUGUGUGUAGGAGGGCAGGCGUGGGCAGGAACCUACUAUCCAGGUUUCCUCUCCCUGCUACAGCAUUCCAAUGCUUUUUCAUCAUUUCCCACUCAGUGUUCUACCAUAUCUUGUAACAAACAGAAAAUUUAAGGUUUCCCCACUUCUUAGAAAAAUGCUGCUUAGUAAAGAAAUCUGCUAAAAGG